AGCAGCCGCGGUAAUUCCAGCUCCAAUAGCUUAUAUUAAAGUUGUUGCAGUUAAAAAGCUCGUAGUUGAAUUUCGGGAUUAGUACGCUGGUCAUGCCUUUGGUAUGUACUGGUGUUACUGAUUUCUACCUUCUGAAGAACCGUUAUGUCAUUUAUUUGGUGUGGCGGGGAAUCAGGACUGUUACUUUGAAAAAAUUAGAGUGUUUAAAGCAGGCUCGCGCUUGAAUACAUUAGCAUGGAAUAAUGAAAUAGGACGUUUGACCCUAUUUUGUUGGUUUCUAGGAUCGACGUAAUGAUUAAUAGGGAUAGUUGGGGGCAUUAGUAUUCAAUUGUCAGAGGUGAAAUUCUUGGAUUUAUUGAAGACUAACUACUGCGAAAGCAUUUGCCAAGGAUGUUUUCAUUAAUCAAGAACGAAAGUUAGGGGAUCGAAGACGAUCAGAUACCGUCGUAGUCUUAACCAUAAACUAUGCCGACUAGGGAUCGGAUGAUGUUAUUUAAUGACUCAUUCGGCGCCUUACGGG
rnacentral:rRNA from 1 species